rnacentral:lncRNA from 1 species
GAUGAAUUGCCAAAUCAAGGACAUUUGUCCAAAACUCAUACAAAUUUAUACUGAAAUAUUCUCUCUUACAACUCCCUUUCUUCUAUCCCUUCUCAUUACUCCAACCCCGCCCUCUGAAUCAGAAUUCCGAGAUGUGGUUCAAGCGUCACAGUAUUGCCAUAGGCGAGGUGCCGGCUUGCCGUCUGGUCCACCGCAGACAGCUGACUGAGGCCCACGUGGAAGAGAUAUGGAAGUCGAUGACCUUGUCCUAUUUACAGAAAAUCCUUGGCCUGGAUUCCUUAGAAGAAGUUUUAGAUAUCAAACUCGUCAACUCCAAGUUCAUCAUCCAUAACGUAUACAGUGUUAGCAAGCAGGGAGUUGUUAUCCUUGAUGACAAGUCCAGUGAGUGCCUGAAACCUGUUUGUUUGUGGUUGAUCCAACACAUUGGCUGCUUAGGCCCAUCAGCUCCUAAUUUUAACCCUUGUCUAAACCCUAACUAAAUUCACUCCCUCAUCACAUAUAUUCUUCUCUUACCUCCUAACACUUUGUUUUUAAAAAAUACCUUUUAAUUCAUUGUUUAGAUUAAGAAAAUGGAAUAGAAAGGGGGGAGUAUCCAGGAGUAAGGACCUCAGCAAAAUCCACCCAGAGGCCAGUGCAUUAUUGUUUCCUUGGGAAUUGAGUGGUUGUGUAUUAUCCUCGGGAAACUUCUGUUAACAGGAGUCUGUUUAAGACCUGAGUGCUUGAGUCAGUUUUCAGGUGGACAC